GUCUAGAUGAAAUUACUGUAAGCUUUGGAAUGUAGGGAUUAAAGAAUGCCAAGGAGCGAUGAUGACGACUUGCAAAGAUCUAGCAUGUCUUCAUGCUAAUGUAUUUUGAAUGACUACAUAGAGAGAAGCAUCCUGUAACAGAUUCAUCAGUAAGCUAGUCAGCUGGCUUUUUAUGCAAGGUGUCUAUCACCAGGCCACCCAAGC